CCCACCAUGAACCUGGAAGGGCUGGAGAUGGUCGCUGUGCUUGUGGUCCUCGCCCUGUUUGUCAAGGUGCUGGAGCAGUUUGGCCUCUUUGAGCCUGUCUCCUUGGAAGGCCACCCUCCAGGGCCCACUAAAAAAGCGCUGAAGCAGCGGUUCCUCAAGCUGCUGCCUUGCUGCGGGCCCCAAGCCCUGCCCUCAGUCAGUGAAAGCAAGUGCCUCUCCUGUGCUUCCGGGGGCGGGGCCCGUAUGUGUCGGGGUGUGACCGGUGUGAGGGGAGCCGGCCUGCGUGAGUGUGUGUGGGCGUGACCAAUGUGGCGGAGGUGGGCUGGGCACUGACUAACCAGGAGUGUGAGGGGGCGUAGCUACGCAGCGCAGAGCGGAAUGUGUGGGCGUGGUCAGUUUGGAGGCGGGGCCUGAGUGUGUGGGCCAUCUGGGUGUAAGAAAUGGGCAGGAUCUGGGUGUUUGGGCGUGGUCAGUGUGACAGGCUGAGGCCACUCUGAGCCUGUGUGAGCGUGACCAGUGUGGCAGGGGUGGGACCAGGCGGCUGUGAGGGUCUGUGCGUGGCUUAGCUGGGGUUAGUGUCUGGCCGCCCUCCCCGCCCCUGGGCAUGUUUUGGGCCUUGAGAUGUAGGUCAUCAAUGUCUUGACUAGAUGGAUGCAAGUGUAAUGAUGGAGCCCGCCUUCCUCCAGAUGCCAGGAUACCUGAGUUUCCUAGUACCAGCCUGGUCCCCAGUUGAGUGACCUCGCUUUGUCUGUAGGCCUCAGUUUCCUCAUUUGGGCUUUGCCCACCUCACAGGAUUAUACAUACUGCAUCUUUGCAAGCUAUAAAGGCCCGGUUUUGAGAAGGUCGUUGUGUUUGAUUCUGCUGGGUCCCACAAUGGGGGUCGAUUCGGAAAAAGGGCAGGGGGAUGUGCGCGGGGUCCGAUUCGUGUGUGUCUGUGCUCAUUCGUUACGUGUGCCUCUGUGCGCGUGGGGGGCUGGGGUGUGUGCACUGUAACACGCAGGUCUGUGAGAUUUGCUGUGAGUGUGAGGGGCGAGGUGUGUGCAGCUGGCCGGGUCCUCCGCUUUCUCGGUGACAGUUCGCUCCCUUCAGCAUUAGCCGCCCCAGCCUCCCUCCGCCCCCACAGACCCCGCCCGCUGGACCCAGGUGACUUACUCUCCUGGUGGGGGCGGGGGCGGGGGACUUCGGGAGCCUGGGGUGGGGGCACCUGCCUGGGGAAUGGAUGUUGGGAACAGGGGCGGGGCUGAUACGGGGCCAGGGGUGGUGGCCUUCUCUAAGGCACACUAGUGCUGUGGCAGGAGUGGGGUGUGGAGGGGGCUUGGCUGGAGCUGGGCGGGGCAUGGCUCGGGCAUGGCUGGGAUAGGCGGGGCUUGGCUGGAGGGAAGGAUCUGGGCGGGGCAAGGGUGAGACCGGGCGGAUCUGAGUUGGUAAGGGGAGGCCCAGAGCUCGAACCCUCAGAAGCCCCCUCUCCAACCCAAUUUUCCUACUCCUGGCCUUCUGGGACAAAGACUGGGCUGGGGGCCUUCCCCUCCAACCAUGGAUCAAGGGCCCAGGGGCCAGCGCUGACUCAGACCCCGGGCUCUGGGGCCAGGCCUGGCCUUGGCCUGGGCCCGCUGAUAUACCUCGAAGCCGACCAGCAUCUUCUUGGCUCUGGGUCCGGGGAACUGGCAGGCUGGUCUCCGGCGUCGGAUAUGGGGGGGAUGGAUGGUUCAGUGAUUUUGAAGAGGGGUCGUGGGGGACAGGCCUGAGGCGCGGCUGUCCCCCCCAACCGCCCCCACCCCGCAGACAGCGUGGAGGAUGAGUUUGAACUGUCCACCGUGUGUCACCGGCCCGAGGGUCUGGAGCAGCUGCAGGAGCAAACCAAGUUCACGCGCAAAGAGCUACAGGUCCUGUACCGGGGUUUCAAAAACGAAUGUCCCAGCGGAAUUGUCAAUGAGGAAAACUUCAAGCAGAUUUAUUCCCAGUUCUUUCCUCAAGGAGACUCCAGCACAUAUGCCACUUUUCUCUUCAAUGCCUUUGACACCAACCAUGAUGGCUCAGUCAGUUUUGAGGACUUUGUGGCUGGUUUGUCAGUGAUUCUUCGGGGAACCACAGAUGACAGGCUGAACUGGGCUUUCAACCUGUAUGACCUCAACAAGGAUGGCUGCAUCACCAAGGAGGAAAUGCUUGAUAUCAUGAAGUCCAUCUAUGACAUGAUGGGCAAGUAUACAUAUCCUGCACUCCGGGAGGAGGCCCCAAGGGAACACGUGGAGAGCUUCUUCCAGAAGAUGGACAGGAACAAAGAUGGCGUGGUGACUAUUGAGGAAUUCAUUGAAUCUUGUCAAAAGGAUGAGAACAUCAUGAGGUCCAUGCAGCUCUUUGACAAUGUCAUCUAGCUCCCCAGGAGAGGGGGGUCAGUUGUCCUGGGGGGACCAUGCUGUAGCCCUAGUCCAGGUGGACCUCACCCUUCUCUUCCCAGGUCUGUCCUCAUCCUAGCUCUACCCUGGGGGCUAUAGGAAUCCAAGAGCCUGGGGAUUCAGUGGUUCAGAUUGCUGGAGCUGAGGGGGCUAUAGAGUGGGCAGAGUGUAUCUGUGGGGUGUUCCCAACUCCCAACAGCUCCCCCUUCCUGUCUGAAACUCAGUGCUGAGGGUGCCCCUGCUACAGGAAUUGAGUGGUCCUCCCCCUUCCACUCCCACUUGAGAAACCACAGUGCUAGACAAAAUGUCUCCUGCUAUGGUGCUUCCCCCAUCCCUGAUCUCAUAACCAUUUCCCCUAAGACCCCCUUAACAGAAAGGCUGUUCUGUCAUUGGCACUGACUGGCCUUUCAGACCAGGGCCUUUGAGAGCCCUGUAGGAGGUGGACAAGAAUGUAGAGGGAGUAAUCUUGGGCCUGAGCCAGUGCAUAGGUCCUAGGAGGUAGCUGGGUUAGAGAACAGAAGAGCCUGGGGAUUAUCAGUGAGAGCAUGCCAGGCUAUAGCUUUCAGCUCUACAGGUCUGCCAUUCAAAGCUGUCAGAAUAUGAAUUUCCAGGCUCUUCAGAAGACCUUGUUUCCUUGGAAAUACCCCAGAAAAUUUCCAAGUAUCCCAGGAGAGUCUGGGAUCCUGGUGUUUGGCUCAUUCCCUCCUCUCCUCCCUUCCUGUUUGUGUAGUGGUGGUGGCAGUGGGGGGGAAGAUAGGUGGGAGCUGUCUUGGCUGAUACCUGCCAAAGUUUCAGCCUACCCUCUCUGAUGGCUACAACUUAAGUUUUCAUUUGCCAUUUCCUCUCGACUUGGAGGCACAGAGUAAGUCAGGGACAACACAGUGGAUGCCUUAGAAGAAAAAGGAAGGAAGGAGGCGGGCAUAGAUUUGAACCCAGUGUGGGGGCAUUUAUUAGACUCUGUGAUAUACCCAGGCUGUAUUCCUGCCCCCCGACAUAGCCUCCUAAUUGCCCACCCAGAGUCUCCUCUUGCUCUAUUCAAUCUACCCAGAGAUGCCCCUGAGCACACCUUGAAGGCAGGAACAUUAGGACCCAGGUCCCACCUCACUGUCAGCACCCCUGCCGUGCCGCCACCCCUUAAUAUAUCUGCUUGUCCCGUUUAGCUCACUCUCCCAGUCAGCUGUGAUCUGAGGGGAGGGUCCCCAGGGAGCCCCCUUUCCUAUCAGAACACUGUUGACUGCUUUGCAUUUUUGGUUCCUCUGUAAUUUUUGUAAAAUAAGAAGUACACCAGAUCCAAUAAAACACAAUGGCUAUGCACAGGCUCUGUCUGCCUUUUUGUCUCUCCUACCCCGCACAUAACUCACAACCCGUAAUUCAUACAGCCUUUUGGAUUCCAGAGAAAAUGCUUCCUUUCCUAUAGUAUGGCCAACCCUUGGCAGGAGAUCAAGACACAGGUUCUGGAAGGGUUGGAAACCUACUGGACCUCAGAGAGGCCCCCGAAUCUCCCUCCCACAUCCUUAGAGGAGACAAGGAAGAGAAAGGUGAUUGAUGUCCUGAAGACUAUGCCAAGCAAGCUGUCUUUUGGCUAAACAUUCUUACAAGUCAAAUCCAGAAUUUCUAAUUUACAGACAUCUUCGUUAAUUUCAAAGUGUUUUCUUUUGAGAGGGGAAUUCCCUUUAGUUUCUAAUGAAAGUUCCUUUGUAUAAACAUCCCAACCUUGCCUCUAGUACGGAGGUACAUUUGUGUCUAUACUGCAGCCAAGAAUGAUGGGGGAGCAGAUGAAGUGGACCCAGGGCAGGUCACCGUGGAGCAGGUGACACAAAGGGUAAUAGAAACUUCCUGUGCGGAGUGGGAACCUUUCUUUGUUCUGCUCCUGGAGAGGGGCUGCCAAUGGUAAGUUCCUCUCAUCCUUUCUCUAGGGCACCAUUAUGUGGUGAUUAAGCUUCACUAUCCAUAGGAGGGGGAUCAGGCCUUCUCUCCCAACACUGUACAUGUUGACAAGGUCAAGGGAAGGGUAUGGGUGUCCAAGAAACAAAAACUUACUUCCAGAGUCCAUCAUUCUGUCAUCUGGUUUCACUGCUCACAUCAUCACACAACUGUCUGCUCCUUAGGUCCUUGGGUUUCUUUGGGUCACAACCCCUCUGAAGGAUCUAAUUAAAGUUGUGGGCCCACUGUCUAGAAAAAAAAAAAAA